GACGAACGCUGGCGGCGUGCUUAACACAUGCAAGUCGAACGGAAAGGCCCCUUUGGGGGUACUCGAGUGGCGGACGGGUGAGUAACACGUGAGUAACCUUCCCUUGACUUCGGGAUAACUUCAGGAAACUGGGGCUAAUACCGGAUAGGAAUCCUUUCUUCAUGGUGGGGGUUGGAAAGCUUCGGCGGUUUUGGAUGGACUCGCGGCUUAUCAGCUUGUUGGUGGGGUAGUGGCUUACCAAGGCUUUGACGGGUAGCCGGCCUGAGAGGGCGACCGGCCACAUUGGGACUGAGAGAAGGCCCAGACUCCUACGGGAGGAAGAAGUGGGGAAUAUUGCACAAUGGGCGGAAGCCUGAUGCAGCAACGCCGCGUGCGGGAUGACGGCCUUCGGGUUGUAAAACGCUUUCAGCAGGGGCGAAGCUUGUGGUGACGGUACCUGCAGAAGAAGCACCGGCUAACUACGUG
rnacentral:rRNA from 1 species